GGCUUCUCCUCUUCUGCCAUGCGAGGACACAGCAUUCCUUCCCUUUUGCUCUUCUGUCCUUUCCACCACCUGAGGACACAAGUGUUCCUCCCUUCCAGAGGAUGCAGCAACAAGGUGCCAUCUUGGAUGCAGAGAGCUGCCCUCAACAGACAACUGAACCUGCCAGCAGCUUGAUCUUGGACUUCCCGGCCUGCAGAACUGUGAGAAAGAGAUUUCCAGUUAUAAGUGACUUAGUCUCAGAUCCCCAGAUCCAUGAAUAAGUGGAAGGGCAGAAGCUCCAGUGGUCUUCUGGAAGUCAGAGAACCCAAGUUAGAGGUCAAUAACGUCCUGGUGGAUUGGGAGUAACCCUACAAACGUGAGACUCUUGUUUUAGCUCUGACUGUCCUAAUGGCUGGCGAUGGGGCCUUGGGCAAGUCACUUGCCCUUUCUGGUUCUCAGCCUCUCUGUCUGGACUAUGAGAUGGAGUGGCCUAGACCAGAGGUUUUUCAAAUUGUGUUCCACAGAAGCUUGGGUGCCUCAGGGAACUCUGUGGUAGGGAGAGGGAUGAGACUGAAUGGGUGGGGCUCUGGGCCCCUGAGCCUGCUUUGAUGGAAUUUAUAUGUGCCAAGGCUUUAAAAAAACAGUUUGAGGCCAGGCACAGUGGCUCACGCCUGUAAUCCCAACACUUUGGGAGGCCGAGUCAGGUGGAUCACCUGAGGUCAGGAGUUUGAGACGGGCCUGGCCAACAUGGCAAAACUCCGUCUCUACUAAAAAUACAAAAAUAAAAAUAAAAAUAAAAAUAACUGGGCGUGGUGGCAGGCACUUGUAAUCCCAGCUACUACUCAGGAGGCUGAGGCAGGAGAAUCACCUGAACCUGGGAGGCGGAGGUUGCAGUGAGCCGAGGUCGUGCCAUUGCACUCCAGCCUGGGCAAGAGAGCGAGACUCCAUCUCAAAAAAAAAAAAAAAAAAAGUUUGAAAACUCUGACCGCAUGCUUUUGGCUUUGAUAGGGAAAGAGAGCUCCUUGGCCACUUCCUCAAUCCCAGAGUGCAUGAGUUCCCUGGCCUGGGAGCAGAUACACCAAGAGAGGCACUGGAUCCCAAAGGUACCCCAAAGCUCCAUUUUCUCCCACACCACCCAUCCUGAGCUGUCUUUCUGUCCCAGAACUCCUCUCUGACAGUUCCAACUGCCCAAAACCAGGCUACUUCCACCAGAUGCCCUGAGGAACAGUAUGGCAAGGGGCCCUGGGCAGGGAAGAGGCUGAGGAGGAGGAACAGGCCCUGGCCACCUCUUUCCUUUAGGAGGGUACGACAGUUCCCAGUGGCCCAACCUCCCAGGGCGUUCUCCCAGAGUGUGGAGGGCGGGGGCCUAAUCUGCAUUUGGGACAAAGCCUACCCGGUGCUCGAGUGUUGUUGUCAUGGAAACUCAAAAGGUGUUAUUAGCAUCUUUUCAACUCAGUGGCCCUGUGUGGUCCAGUCCAUGCAAUCUUAGCAGUAGCACACCAUCACCCUGGCAACCCAUUAGCCUAGUGUUGUUACCAUGGAAACUCCAGUAAGGUCGAUCAGUCCGGGAAGUUCCCAGAGGAGAUAGGCACUGGGAGAUCUGCCCAGCAGUGCCUACUCUGAGGGUCUCCCAGCUGACAGUGACCUGCUCUGCAUACACUGACAGUAGUUUAGGAUCUUUUCCGGAGCGAGCUAACAGUCCAUGUGACAGGAAAGAAUUUGGCCCUGCAGACUGGCAGGUCUAUGCCUCGUUACCAUGGAAAUGCUGCUUGUCAGGAUCUCAAAGCACAGUGCAAAACUAACUCUUCCAGGAGACUGAGGCUGGCAGGAAAGGAGGCUGUGAGCCUGUUCUUCAUUCACAUGCCCAUUCAUUCAUUCAUUCGUUCAUUCAGUAUUUAGUGCACGCUCAUUAAUACAGUGGGCACUGCGUAUGUCCGAGGCUCUAACUGGAGCAAACAGGUGGGCUCACCAACUCUCUUCAAUUGAAAAGUAUAUUGAGGUGGAGGGGACCAUCUUACUUCCUGUGUCAACCUCCACUGGAGGAAAAGGAGUUGACAUGCCCAAAGGAAUGGAAUCGGGGGGUCUCUGUGUGUCGAGGGGUACAGGGAGAAUACUUGCUUUCUGUAGCCUCCUGUUUUUCACCUAUCCCCUGCUUAAGCCUUCAGGAAACAGAUCUUUGUGUGGUCUGGAUCACCAAAGGCUUGGCCAGACAUGCUAGAAGUUUCCAGCAGCCACAGCUAAGUGAAGUUAGAACAGGCUACGUUGGGAAGCAAUGAGCUCCCCAUCACUGGAGAUGUACAAGCAGAGGCAAAAAAUCCUGCUCAGUGAGGGCCAUGUAGAGCCCGCAGAGCACAAUGAUUCAGAGCUCAGAUUCUGGAGCCAGAUAGCCAGUCUUCAAAUCUUGGCUCAGUUUACCAGCUGUGUGACUUUGGGCAAUUCACUUAAUCAUACUGAGCCUUGAUUUCCUCAUUUGUAAAUGGGAAUGAUAAGAGUUUCUUCCUCAUGGGCUUGUUGUGGGGAUGAAAUGCGUAUAAUAUAUAAAGCACUUAGAACAGUACCUAACAUAUAAUUGCUCAAGAAAUGGUAGCUUGUAUUAUCCCUUGAUGGCCCAACUAAAGUCCCUGACAAGCUUGGGAUUCUAUAUGACUAUGGGUCACUAAUCUUCCUGCACACGGAAAAUCAGAAAGGGACUCUGGCAAGGGUAAGAUUCUGUGCUGACCAGAGAGCUGGCUGAGGGUAGCACCUCUGAGCUUUGAGCUCAUCACCACUUGCGUGCUUCCAGCAAUAGUUUUCCUUUCCAAGUACUUUUGGAUCCAUGUCUCAAUUGGGCCUAAAGACAACAGCAAAGGGCACAGUUACCAUCCCCUGUGAUAGAUAAUGGGAAGUAAAGCUAAGAGCGGGAGAGUGGCUCACCUACCAAGUGGCACAACUGGGAUGGAAGCUUUCUCUCUGUCACACCACCUCACAGUCCCCAGGGCCGCCAUAAGGGGAGGACAGCAGUUGGGAAGGAGCAAGUCAUGGGCUGGGCGGAGGAGGAGCCCAGCAUGACAAUAACCUAUGAAAAUCAGCUUUCCACUGUCUGCACUUCUGCAAGGAGGAGUUGAGGCCAAAGCCAGGGAGCAGAAGGGGGUAUUUCCUAGAAAUGCGGCGGGAGUGGCUGGUGUGCUCCACCCAUGGGCAAAGGACAAGGCUCGGCCUGCGUGUGAGCACUCACUUGGAGCUGAACUUGGAGCCUCCAGAGCUCCCAUCCCUCUGAGCUCACUCAGAAAGCUUUCCCUUUGGGCAAAGUCCAAGGGGGUCAUUCAACUGUGAUCUGACACUUCUGCUUUCAACUUAAUAGCUCAAGUAUUUAACGGAUGGCUCAUGGCCUCACCAAGGGAUUUUGCUUGCCGAGACUAGCAAGGUGGGCUAGUGUUUUCAUGCCAUUUGGAGGAGCAAUGAGAAAGGAUUGUUUAAAAAAAAAAAAAACUUUGCCUGAGAACAAGAGUAACGCCCUAACUCAUGGCCUCAUGAAGCUCCAGGUUAAAAUGCACACGUUACCUGGGAGUAUGGGAAUUGGACAGGGGCAAUAGUGAAAAAUCUUUAAUAGCCAGCAAGGUCUGGACACCAACUGAUUAGAAUGUUUGCUGGCCAGAAACACGCUAUAGGGAUGCACCAGCCCAGAUAGAGGAAAACAGCAGCCCUGGAUGUGGGCCUUGGCAGGGGCCGGGUGAAGGGAGGGUUUGCUCCCUGAGAGGUCCCAUGAGCACACGCAGGAAUCAGAUCUGCCUAUGGCCACCAGAAGAGGCUGCCUAAUUCCGGAUGGAUUUGAAAGAGUGUUGGUUUUCAGAUUCUCUGCCCCCACUCGUCAACCUCUCAGUUCAGGACCUCCGGUCCAGAAACAAUCAGCUAUCUCAUUCAUCAAGCAACUCUA
rnacentral:lncRNA from 1 species